GGUUAUGAUUACUGCUCAUUGGCUGAUUUGAGGCUUGAAGAUGGAUGAUUGUUAGAAUGAGUUGAGAUGCGCUGCGUUUCGUGAUUGGUGUCAAUGGACAUGUAAUACUACUUCAAGAGACAUUAUCAUGCAUCGUCAUUAAAGCUACUCUUAUAACCCUAGUAGUCGUCUUCCCCAAUCGAGCUAGUAAUUACUUGUAUCAGGAAACUUCUGGGUUUGUACUUUUUUAACCUUUAAAUGCCAAAAGAUAUAUUAAAUCA